CCUACGGGAGGCAGCAGUGAGGAAUAUUGGUCAAUGGCCGUAAGGCUGAACCAGCCAAGUAGCGUGAGGGAAGACUGCCCUAUGGGUUGUAAACCUCUUUUAUGCGGGGAAAAAUGUGUCCACGUGUGGAUGUGUGCAGGUACCGCAUGCAUAAGGACCGGCUAAUCCCGUGCCAGCAGCCGCGGUAAUACGGAAGGUCCGGGCGGUAUCCGGAGUUAUUGGAUUUAGAGGGAGCGUAGGCGGGGCUUAAAGCGUGCGGUGAAAUUUUGUGGCUCAACCACGAGAGUGUGGUGCGAAGUGGCGACCUUGAGUGCGCGAAAGGCAGGCGGAAUUCGAUGUGGAGCGGUGAAAUGCUUAGAUAUCAGGAAGAACCCCAAUUGCGAAGGCAGCCUGCCGCAGCGUUACUGACGCUGAAGCUCGAAAGCGUGGGUAUCGAACAGGAUUAGAUACCCCAGUAGUC
rnacentral:rRNA from 1 species